ensembl:lncRNA
UGUUGGUCUGCUUUCUCAGGAUUAAUACCACCUCGUUUAAUUGUCAUGCUCAAAGCUACUUGUAGUCUGUGCAAGUAGGCAGAUGGUUUUUCACCUGAGUCUUGUAAGGUACUCAUGAACAUGGCGAAAAGUUCGUCUCCGUCCUCAACGGUGCCAAAAGCUGAAUCUAACAGCUGAAUGUAAGUUGAAAGGGGAGUUUCAGGACUUAAAUGCUUGAUUAUAUCGGCUGCUGGUGGCAGGAGGCUAUCAACUGCACUUAACUGAGGAGUUUCUCCACUUCUCACUAUAUGUUCUACUACCACCUUUUGGACUUCAGGCGAGCCGACCCGCGGUGGAGUGCGCUCGCUGGCUACCUUGCUGCUUUCCUCCUCUAAGGAAGCGCCGCAGGAAGAGAGGGAAUCGUGCUGGGGUUCGGACUUCCUACAUUUGUCCAAUUGUUCUGCUCCACCAUGAUUACAGAUUCGUCAGAGAAGAGUGAACUGUUCAA